AGUGUAUAUAUGGCUUUCGUUUUUAGGGUUGAGUUAUUUUUUUAAGAAGUGUAAUAUUUGUAUAUAGCAGCUAUUUGUUAAAAAAUUAAAAUGAAAAGUAUAGAUAGUGUGAUGAUUAAAAAUAUAAUGAAAUAUUAAUUGGUAAUUUUAAUUAAAACAAAUCAGAUACGUUUGAAGAUGAUAAUACAUAAAAAAAUGUUAAACUUUCACAAGUAUUGGGAUUGGGCCUGGAUCUAGUUGGAGGCCCAUUGAAUUAACAGUAUAGAAACGGGUUAUUUGACCCGCUCGAACGGAGAUUGAAGUCGGGUACAAAACGUGUGAUUAUAAAGGGAAUAGACGUGGAAAUCCCACGUUUUCAUCACGGCAACAGAAUCAUCGCGACCCUCAGAGAUCAGUCUCUCCCGAGAAUUUGAAUUUCUCAGAUCUAUUCGACGUCGUUGCAGAUCUAUCAACGAUCAUGGCUGGUUUCAGCGGUGAUGAAACGGCACCGUUUUUCGGCUUCCUCGGAGCCGCAGCUGCCCUCGUGUUCUCCUGUAAUCCACUCUCUUCAUUUCCCCCAUUCACUUCGAUUAGAUCCGUGUUUACGGUUUCAUUACUUAAAUAAUUCUUUUUAAUCCAGAAAUACCCUUUAGAUUGGGCUUUAUGUUGGGCCGGGUUGAGAGGUUAAGAAACCUGUGGUGUCUUCUUUGGUUGCUCCCUCUGCAUCUAAUUUUCAAACACUACAAGAAAUAAUGAAAUUAUAUAUGGAUUUAAGUCCGUAUAUAAAUCAGAUAUUAUAUACGAAAAUUAUAUACAGAUAUCAGAAAAAAUAUUAUAUACAAAUAUUAUAUACGGAUUUUUAUAUACGAAAAAAAUCUGUAUAUAAUAUCCGUAUAUAAAGGUCGUGUGUGGUGGCCAAAAAAUUAUCCAAGGAUAUAUCCCAAACAAAAUUUUAAGGUUUAAUAUCUCAAUAGGUCCCUAUUUUCGUUAAGAAUCUCAAAUAGGUCCCUUUCUUUUUCGCGUCUCAAUCAAGUUCUUAUUUUUUUAAAAUUGAAUCAAAUAGGGUCUUUCCAUCAAAUUGAGAUGACGCCGUUAAGAAGGGUAUGUUGACCGUGUAGUUUUUUAUUAUGUGACAUUGAAAAUGUGACUGAAUUAUAUUUUUUAAUUUUUAAAUUAAAAAAUGAAGUAUAUUUUUGUAUAUUUCAUUUUUCAAUUCAAGAAUAAAAAAAUACAAUUCAGUCACGUUUUUAAUGCCACGUAAUAAAAAAAUUACAUUGUCAGCAUACCCUUUCUAAUGGCGUCAUCUCAAUUUGACGGAAAAGUCCUAUUUGAUUCAAUUUUACAAAAAUAAGGACUCAAUUGAGACGUCGAAAAAGAAAGGGACCUAUUUAAAAUUUUGUACGAAAAUAGAGACCUAUUAAGACAUUAAACCAAAUUUUAACUAUCUUUAAAAGAAUACUUUAUAAAAUACAGGAAAUAAAAUAAUUUUAAUUCGAAAACAAAAGAUUAUAUAUGAGUAUAAUAAAUUGAAAACAAGAGUGGAUGUAGGAGUGAAUGAAAUAACACAAAGCAUCUAUUCUUUGUUCAUUUGAUCAAAACCACUGCAUUGUGAACUGUUUUGGUGGAAACGUGCUAUUAUGUUCCUUCAUUUUCAUGAUGAAAUGUCAAUUCCUACAUCUAGGAAAUAUCCGACUUCAGAAUUUUCUUCUUUGUUCUUUUCGAAAAGCAAGUCACAUUAUGUUUUCACUGAAUUCCAAUAUUUUCCUCCCACCAAAUUGUUACCGAGAUGUAAUUGUGCUAAAGACUGUAGAAAAAUAGUAUUUUCAGAAUAUUAAGCUCCAAGAGGUCUACCAUUAUAAUUUAGCUAUGGUGUGACGAAACUAUACUAUAAUACAAUACAAAUAACUGAACAUGGGAAUCAAUUCACAUAAUGUUAUUUUAACUUUCUCAUGGUCUUGAAUUCUAUAUGUUUAGUUAAAUUAAAUAAUCACAAAAAGCUUUAUUUUUCACAGUGAUUCUACUUGACUUGAAUAAGAAUGUCUUUAAUAAAUGAUAUAUUGAUCUAUGAAAGCAAAAAAAUACACCACAAACCUCUUUUCACAUUCUGCAAUUUGCAUCCCAGUAAGACAGCAUCUUACACCUUUCUGUUAUCUUUCUUUUCCCAUGAUCUGACAUCUUGUUUUUGUCUGCAAUAAGACAGAUAAAUAUAAUAAGUAACACGUGAAGAAAAUCAGAAAAAUAGAUUACCAGUAACCAAAAGAAAUUGGAGGCAGUGUCAUAUCUGUCUUAACUUUCUAAUGUUGCUUACAAGUUACACCACCAGUGAAAUUCUAAUGCAACCAUUCAUUCACUAGGAUAAUAAGGUGACGGUUCAAAGGGCGGUACCAUAUGUUGGAUUAUACUUAUUCAGAAGAUAAGAAACUUAUUCUGAUGUCAAUUGAUGUACAUAAACAACAUGUGAUCUAAUUUAUUACUGAUCUUAGCAGCAGAAAAUUGUAGGAAAAGGAUUGUGAAAAGAAUCAACAUGUAAAAUGUGGCAAUUUGACUGGAAAGAAGAUUGAUGUGAUAAAUCUGAUAUGUUCCUCAUUUUCCCAGAAUAAGGUGAGUCAAUGACAAAGAACGAAUAUCUCAUCCGUUACGUGUAAAUUUCCACCAUUAGAAAUUGAAAACAAGUAAAUAAUAAAGUCUGGAACACUGAAUGAGGAAUGUUGAUGUGGUGAGGAAUAUAUCAUCAUGUUUGUUCCCCUUGUUCUGGGAGGCUGUUGAAUUCCUCUAUAGAUUGGAGAAAACAGCCGUCAUCCCACCAUUCUUCAAAAACUUUACAAACAACAAAGUACAACAAAUAAAUUUCAUGAUGUUGACGCAUUCCCGUGAACUGUGCAAGCCAGUCUCCAUCAUGAUUCUAGUUAACUUGGCUCUGGCUUUUGUCAAUUUGCUCCUGAAGAAGGUUCUUAAUGAAGGAAUGGAUUACAUGUCCAUUAUAACAUAUCGACAGGCAAUUUCGUUUAUCUUCAUGGCACCUAUUGCCUGCAUCUAUGAAAGGCAAGAACAAAUUCAUUUCUCGUAAUAAUUCUACUUAGAGGAGAAAAAAAAAAGUUAUUGUUGAAUUCUUCAUUCUCUGUCACCUUAAACACGUCUUUGGUUAACAUUGACGACCUUGUUUAUUUUAGUGACACAACGUUUCUUGUAGAACUACCUAAAUUUUGCAAAUGACAGGAAAAGCCAGUUUUUUUUCUGUUUACAGGAAACACAAAGUGGAAGUUCGCAUAAUAUUUCUCCUUUUCCUGAGUGCCCUACUCGGGUAAGUAAUAUUGUAAAUAAACAUAUGCUUUGGGUUCUGUAUUUAUGUUGUCUAAUUAAAUAGUAACAUAACAAGUGCUAACUAAAUGGUAACGUAAUAAGUGCUUAGUAACUAGCAAAAUCUCAAAAUAUUUUGAAGAGUAAUAUUAUCAUGACAUAUUUUUAUAUUCAUUUCACAUAAAAUAUAAAGAUAAAAUAGUCAUAAAAAUGUAAACUUGUGUUUUUUUUUAAAUUAAAAAAGAGAAUAAAAAGUAAAACGGGACAUUACCAAAUGAAUGUAAAAAAUUUAGGUGUGUCAAAUAAUCGUUUUUCUAUCUUGAAACACUAUCCUUCUAUCCAAAACCUCACUUUUAAAACAAACUGUAACAAACAUCACAAUGUUUGUGAUUUGAAUACCUUGUUAAUGCUUUUCAGAGUAACAGUUCCACAAAACCUAUUCCUUCUUGGACUUGAUUAUACGUCAGCUACGUUCUCGUGUGCGUUCCUCAACACGGUGCCUGUAUUUACGUUCAUUAUGGCAGUGCCAUUUGGGUAAGUUAAAACAAAAGAAUAUUUUAUGAUUGUGGAACACAACAACAGUAAUUUUGAUCCUUGGGCUUGAAAAUUUUCAAGGAUAGAGAAGGUGAAUGUGCAAAGCAAGGGAGGCAAAGCUAAAGUCAUGGGAACUUUUGUGUGCAUUGGUGGAGUCUUGUUGUUGGUCCUUUAUAAAGGAAUGCCCCUUUUCAAGCCACAAUCUCAAUACAUAGCUGACAAAAUUACAAGUGUACCUUCAACUGCCAAGUUAGAAACGUGGAUUAUAGGUUCAAUAAUUCUGACUGUAGGCUGCCUCCUGUG
rnacentral:lncRNA from 1 species